rnacentral:tRNA from 1 species
GGGAAAGUAGCUCAGCGGUAGAGUGCAUGCCUUGCAAGCAUGAGACCCUGGGUUCGAUUCCUCAGCACCA